AGCAGCCGCGGUAAUUCCAGCUCCAAUAGCGUAUAUUAAAGUUGUUGCAGUUAAAAGCUCGUAGUUGAAUUUCGGGAUUGGCGCAUCGGUCGUGCCUCACGGGGUAUGAACUGGUGCAGUCAAUUUCUCACCUUCUGGAGAACCGCGAUGUCCUUAAUUGGAUGCCGCGGGGAACCAGGACCUUUACUUUGAAAAAAUUAGAGUGUUUAAAGCAGGCAUUUUUGCUUGAAUACAUUAGCAUGGAAUAAUAAAAUAGGACGGCAUGGUUCUAUUUUGUUGGUUUCUAGGACCACCGUAAUGAUUAAUAGGGAUAGUUGGGGGCAUUAGUAUUCAAUUGUCAGAGGUGAAAUUCUUGGAUUUAUUGAAGACUAACUACUGCGAAAGCAUUUUGCCAAGGAUGUCUUCAUUAAUCAAGAACGAAAGUUAAGGGAUCGAAGACGAUCAGAUACCGUCGUAGUCUUAACCAUAAACUAUGCCGACUAGGAAUCAGACGAUGUUAAUUUUUUAAUGACUCGUUUGG
rnacentral:misc_RNA from 1 species